rnacentral:rRNA from 1 species
GACGAACGCUGGCGGCGUGCUUAACACAUGCCAGUCGAACGGAAAGGCCCUGCUUUUGUGGGGUGCUCGAGUGGCGAACGGGUGAGUAACACGUGCGUAACCUGCCCUUGACUUUGGGAUAACUUCAGGAAACUGGGGCUAAUACCGGAUAGGAGCUCCUGCUGCAUGGUGGGGGUUGGAAAGUUUCGGCGGUUGGGGAUGGACUCGCGGCUUAUCAGCUUGUUGGUGGGGUAGUGGCUUACCAAGGCUUUGACGGGUAGCCGGCCUGAGAGGGUGACCGGCCACAUUGGGACUGAGAUACGGCCCAGACUCCUACGGGAGGCAGCAGUGGGGAAUAUUGCACAAUGGGCGGAAGCCUGAUGCAGCAACGCCGCGUGCGGGAUGACGGCCUUCGGGUUGUAAACCGCUUUCGCCUGUGACGAAGCGUGAGUGACGGUAAUGGGUAAAGAAGCACCGGCUAACUACGUG